CCUACGGGAGGCAGCAGUGAGGAAUAUUGGUCAAUGGACGAGAGUCUGAACCAGCCAAGUAGCGUGAAGGAUGACUGCCCUAUGGGUUGUAAACUUCUUUUAUAUGGGAAUAAAAUGUUCCAAGUGUGGGAUUUUGUAUGUACCAUAUGAAUAAGGAUCGGCUAACUCCGUGCCAGCAGCCGCGGUAAUACGGAGGAUCCGAGCGUUAUCCGGAUUUAUUGGGUUUAAAGGGAGCGUAGGUGGAUUGUUAAGUCAGUUGUGAAAGUUUGCGGCUCAACCGUAGAAUUGCAGUUGAAACUGGCAGUCUUGAGUACAGGAGAGGUGGGCGGAAUUCGUGGUGUAGCGGUGAAAUGCUUAGAUAUCACGAAGAACUCCGAUUGCGAAGGCAGUUCACUGGACUGCAACUGACACUGAGGCUCGAAAGUGUGGGUAUCAAACAGGAUUAGAUACCCUAGUAGUC
rnacentral:rRNA from 1 species